rnacentral:rRNA from 1 species
UAAGGAAUAUUGGUCAAUGGACGCAAGCCUGAACCAGCCAUGCCGCGUGGAGGAUGAAGGUCCUCUGGAUUGUAAACUUCUUUUAUCUGGGAAGAAAUCCAUUUUUUCUAAGAUGGUUGACGGUACCAGACGAAUAAGCACCGGCUAACUCCGUGCCAGCAGCCGCGGUAAUACGGAGGGUGCAAGCGUUAUCCGGAUUCACUGGGUUUAAAGGGUGCGUAGGUGGGCAGUUAAGUCAGUGGUGAAAUCUCCGGGCUUAACCCGGAAACUGCCAUUGAUACUAUCUGUCUUGAAUGCCGUGGAGGUAAGCGGAAUAUGUCAUGUAGCGGUGAAAUGCUUAGAUAUGACAUAGAACACCAAUUGCGAAGGCAGCUUACUACACGAAUAUUGACACUGAGGCACGAAAGCGUGGGGAGUCAAACAGGAUUAGAGUACCCUGGUAGUCCACGCCCUAACCGAUGGAUACUCGACAUACGCG